UACGUAGGGUGCAAGCGUUAAUCGGAAUUACUGGGCGUAAAGCGUGCGCAGGCGGUUAUGCAAGACAGAUGUGAAAUCCCCGGGCUCAACCUGGGAACUGCAUUUGUGACUGCAUGGCUAGAGUACGGUAGAGGGGGAUGGAAUUCCGCAUGUAGCAGUGAAAUGCGUAGAUAUGCGGAGGAACACCGAUGGCGAAGGCAAUCCCCUGGACCUGUACUGACGCUCAUGCACGAAAGCGUGGGGAGCAAACAGG
rnacentral:rRNA from 1 species